CCAAACAGACAGGAGAGAGGGAGGAGCGAGGGUGAUGAAGUGCCCAAAGGUGGUGCUGAUGAUCUCUAUCGUGUAUCUAAUUCUGAAGGCGAGUCCCCUCCUCGUCUCGGUGAAGGUAGUAGGAAAGUACUCCUCCGGCUCCGCCUCUAAAGAAACCCCGAUAGAGAGGUGGAGAGCCGUAGACUCCAUCAGCUUCCAAUACGGAAAGUUCGGCCGCGGCACCGACAGACGAGAACAGGGCUUCCAAGAUGAUAAGAGAUUCUCGCCGACUGGCUCCAACCCACUCCACAAUUUAUAGCUGCAGUAGCUCCUGGGGAAAGUUAGCAUCGCGCGGAGUCCUCUCCGUGCAUGGCUUGCAAGGCGCCUAACGAGCUGAGUGUGUUUUUGUGCUUUUUCUUCUUCUUCUUCUUCUUUUUAAUAACUAGUUAAAAAUCGAUUUAUUGUUUGGAGCCUUGAUGUAUUUGAAUGGUCCUUCUAAUAUUUCGUUCUACGACUUUAAUAAUAUUAGAUAACUUUUAUGCAAGUUUCGCCCGACUUUCUCUCUCCACUCUCGAAUUGGGUGGUUCCUUGAUUGCCUUUUUCCUAAGAAAAUGGCAAGCCGUGUCUGCUGACAUGUUAUGUUCUCUCCAGAUAGCAACGAAACAAAAAUAUUAUCACAAACUGCUGAAGUUGACUACCUGGGAUAUUUACUGGUCACAAAAAAUUUUAAAAUGUAUAUAUACAGUUUUAAGUGCUGUGUUGUCUUUCUUUUCUUUUCUUCUUCUUCUUUUUCUUUUUUUUUGAAAGAACUCAAAAAUGCAUUUGUCGUAUUACAUUCAUAUAUUAAAACAACUUUUAUCAAAAGAAAUAUCUCCAAUACAUAAUAGCUUGUAGAUAUAUGAUGCAUCAUAUAUUUUGUUUCAUUUUUUUGAUGAAAAUGCCAUCAUAUAUUUUAUAUAAAGAAAUCUUUAUAUUUAAUCUACAUUUACCUUAUACCAAUUAAUGUUGUAUAUAUAACUAGGGAAUAUGGCUAUUUUUUUGGUCAUAUUUGGGAGAAAAUUAAGGAACGAUGAUAGAAUGAUUAUGGGCCGAUUUGAAAGUGCAGAAGCAUAAAUUAUUUGGAGAAUAUGUCCAGAUACUUUUACCGGUCAAGAAAGGAUGGUGGUGGAAGGAUAACAUCAAACUCUCUCCUCAUAUGCAAAAUAAUCUAUAUUGGGGAUCGCCUAAAUCAGUUUUGACAGGAAAAAUAUAGUAUCCUAGGUUUUGGACAUCAUGUGAUUCGUGGGCUUCCCCAAUUGCAACAAUUUCUUCUUUUAAUGUCACUCCUCUAUUUUUCACCUUCAAACACGAGCCAGUUGUGAAUGAUUUAUUCUGUCAACUAAAUAGAUCUUAAAUAAAAAAUUAAAAUAAUUUGAUGCAUCUUUUUGUAUACUUUGUUGGAUGUAAUGCCUUUGGCUUAUCCAAAUAAUAUAAGCUGUUCGCCAUACCGACGUAGAUCAACGUUUUAAGAGUUUAAACUGGCUGAUAGGUUUCCACUCUAAAGCAUGCACGGAAGUUUAAACUUCAUCAAUUUUUGAACUUUUUUUUUUUAAGAAAGAAAAGGAGUUACUUCUCACUUCGCCAUCCUAUGUGGAUGGGUCCGGUUGUAUCUUAUGCAUUGGAGAAUGAAUAAUGUUCUUUCACGAUAUUAGUUAUUGGAUCAUAUUUCACAUUGAUCUUGCCUGCUGCGGAUAGGAUUUAAAUAAAAAUUAUGGUUUCCUUUUCUUUUAGUGCAGGACUUUGAGUUUUUUUUUUUGAGAUUACUGCAAUAGGAUCAACAGAUUAAUUUUUGAUUUAUCACGUAUCAGAUACCAUUAAGGCCUUUCAGACCCACAUCAGUUUCAAAACCCACCUUCCCGACAGCUACAAAUUUUGGGACGGGCCCAAGGCAUACUGCAGUACUGCACAUCCACAUAUCAAGGAAAAACAAUACCGUGCUCCGCACAAACUCAAAGGUGACGCGCAGCAGGGUGUCAGGGCCCAGGACGAGGUAACUCCAGCGACAUAAAGGAUUCACCAAAUUGCCAG
rnacentral:lncRNA from 1 species